UGUCUCUUAAAUCGGGACCUGUAUGAAUGGCAUCACGAGGAUUUAACUGUCUCCCAUCACCAAUCAGUGAAACUAAUCUCCCUGUGAAAAAGCAGGGUUACUUAUACAAGACGAGAAGACCCUAUGGAGCUUUAAACUAAUAACACUUGCUCUACUUUCCCAUAACAUCCAGCAUAAUGCUUAUACGUUUUCGGUUGGGGUGACCCUGGAGAAAAACCUAACCUCCAUGCUGUUAAAUAUAAGAACCUCAAUUCUACAAUCAACAUACUGACACAAUUGACCCAAACAUUUGAUCAACGGACCAAGUUACCCUAGGGAUAACAGCGCCAUCCACUUCAAGAGKACAUAUCAACAAGUGGGCUUACGACCUCGAUG
rnacentral:rRNA from 1 species